UACAGAGGGUGCGAGCGUUAAUCGGAAUUACUGGGCGUAAAGCGCGCGUAGGCGGUUUGUUAAGUCGGAUGUGAAAUCCCCGGGCUCAACCUGGGAAUUGCAUUCGAUACUGGCAAGCUAGAGUAUGGGAGAGGAAGGUAGAAUUCCAGGUGUAGCGGUGAAAUGCGUAGAGAUCUGGAGGAAUACCGAUGGCGAAGGCAGCCUUCUGGCCUAAUACUGACGCUGAGGUGCGAAAGCAUGGGGAGCAAAC
rnacentral:rRNA from 1 species